CGCAUUCCCUAAAACAAACUUUGGCCAGUUUGUCCAGAACAAUCCUCAGGAAUUGCGUCAGCAGACCACCAUAUUUGACUGCGGAGUUUUCGUAAUGAUGUUCAUGACACAAUGGGAUGGCAAGAUAAUGAAGCCUUUUAACCAGGAUUUGAUUCAACUUCGGAUGCUCAUCUCAUACAAGCUCCUUACAUCGUCG